UACAGAGGGGGCAAGCGUUGUUCGGAAUUACUGGGCGUAAAGGGCGCGUAGGCGGCCUGCUAAGUCGAACGUGAAAUCCCCGGGCUCAACCCGGGAACUGCGUCCGAUACUGGCAGGCUUGAAUCCGGGAGAGGGAUGCGGAAUUCCAGGUGUAGCGGUGAAAUGCGUAGAUAUCUGGAGGAACACCGGUGGCGAAGGCGGCAUCCUGGACCGGCAUUGACGCUGAGGCGCGAAAGCCAGGGGAGCAAAGCGGG
rnacentral:rRNA from 1 species